UCUGUUUACUUUGUUACUUCCUGGAGAGGCUCACCGAGGGCUUGCCGAAAGAAGCAGAAGACAUCAUCCUUUUUGCUGCACAGCACAACAUUCUGAAGAAGCGGCCAAUCAUAGAUGGUUUCUAUACCACCACCGUCCAUACCAGCCUUUACCACCUGAGUGCAUAGCUGAUAAGAAUCACGUGUCGUCAGAGACGCCCACACCAUGGAGAGGUAUUACUUGCAGCUCCAGAAAGAAAUGGCGAGGAAAACCCCGAAAAAACAGGUAGUGGCACGCCUCCUCGACCUAGAGUUUGUGGCACGAAAGGAGUACGUGGCAAGUGUGGGUGGCAACCAGGAGGCAAGGGUUGCUGAAAUCUUUCAGCGAUAUCUCUGCUUUAAUCAGCCUGUUCACGUAAGUUGUAACAAGUGUUCAAGGCCAUUUGGUAGUGUUGAUUAAGGUACAUUAUUGUCACGUCACCAACUGCAUAUGUAACCGCUCGUGUUUUUUUAUUGAAUCCCCUAGUCACUUAAUGGUUUGUGUUAACUAAAAAUGGUUUGUGUUAACUAGACGUUUUCUUAAAGAAAAAUUCUGCAAAAGGGAAGAUAAAGUCAAGCUAAUAUUGUCCCUAGGUGUCUCUUUUGUUCCCCCUCUCUCUAUAUAUACACAACCCACCACUGUUGUUGAGAGGAGUAGGACAAAGUCAUUGUUAAGCCACAAUGCAGUUUUUAAAAGGGACCUUUCUUAACCCGGAUUGAUUUCCUGUAUGUUUCAGUUGCAAGAUGAGCUGAGACGGUACGUCGGCCCACAGAAGAAAUAUUUCCUGCAGCAGCUGAAAGGACGCCCGAUACGAGAAGCAGAACUGAUACUUUAUGCUGUGCAGGAAUGCGCCAACAGAAGGACAUCCGUGGAAGGAUGGUCGGAUGACAAGAAGAUGAAGAAGACCAUGCAGCUGCUGCCAAAGCUGUUUAAGGGGACAGACACGCCUCCGGUGCCUUUGGGAGAGAUGCUGUUUGUGUUGCUGAAGUGGGUACAAGUGCGAAAUUUCCAGAGACAACCUGGGGCGUUGGAACAAGGUGACGACCGAAAAGGAAUCCAGGAAUCUUACACAUAGUGCCAUGGGGAAGGAAGUAACCAGGAGAUGGAAGGAAGCACGGCCAACCACAUCUGUGGCCACAUCUCCUGCACCACAAGCCACUCCUCCACCUUCUACUCCUCUUCUGAAUCUGGUGCCCAAACUCAAGGGCUGGGUGAGAGAAAGAAAGGAGUUGAAGGUGGAGGAACUAGUGGCUGCAGGAAUGUAAAACUCCAAAAGCUGUGGGAAGAGUGGUUGACAAUAUAAGGAAUAACUAUGUGAAAGAAGAUGAGUCAAGUACAGCUGCUGGUUAUGUUAGCUGUAUUUAGAAUAUCAUGUCAUUUAUUACCAUUUAUGUGUAUAUAAGUUGUUUUUCUCUAUUGCAACAUGUAUGCAAUAAUUUGUUAUGCUUUCUGCUCCAUACUUCUAUACUGUGCUUGAAGAAAGUCUCAAUCAUAUUGCUUCUCCGCCGCACAUAUCUACAUGGAAGAGCCCAAUCGCCACCGUGUGGUUGCAGGGCCUCCGGGCACCACCCAGACUAAAACAUCAGGGAUGUUGUGGAGCAGGAGGACGACGAACUGAAAAAGGUCAGAAGAGUUGACCGAAGAGUAGGCGAAGUGCGAGCUCCUCGAAAGCAGGAUAAAGGCAGAUGAAGAGGAGGAAAUGGCUUUGAAGACAAAAAGAUGUUACAAAAUGGAAGAACGCUGUUGUGUCACAAUUACAAGCAAGAUCAUUUC